CCUCCGCCAACAGGGACCACCAACAGCUUCGAGACGCUGGACGUCGCCUUCGAGAACAUCUCACUGCCCUGGCAAGCGGGCCAGCGUCUGGUGCAGCCCCGCUUGCAGCGGGAAGCGCGCCUCCGCGAGCGCCAGGCCGCCUUCCCCGUCGGCAAAGCGCUGCCUCGCUACUUCCUGAUCUCCAACCCAGGCCGGAAGAACCGCUGGGACCAGCCCCGAAGCUACCGCCUCCAGCUCAACUCCCAUGCUGGCCUGGUCCUGCCGCGACACUGGAAGGAAGAGAACGGCGUUCCCUGGAGCAGGUACCACGUGGCGGUGACUCAACACCACGAGAACGAAGGGGUCAGCAGUAGCUUGUACAUCCAGAACGAUCCGUGGCAGCCCA